UACGUAGGGGGCAAGCGUUGUCCGGAAUUAUUGGGCGUAAAGAGCGUGUAGGCGGUUAUACAGGUCCGCUGUGAAAACUGGAGGCUUAACCUCCAGACGUCGGUGGAAACCGUAUAACUAGAGUCCGGAAGAGGAGAGUGGAAUUCCUGGUGUAGCGGUGAAAUGCGCAGAUAUCAGGAAGAACACCCGUGGCGAAGGCGGCUCUCUGGGACGGUACUGACGCUGAGACGCGAAAGCGUGGGGAGCGAACAGG
rnacentral:rRNA from 1 species